rnacentral:lncRNA from 1 species
ACAAAUUUGACUUGUCUCUCUAGAAUUUCUUUUUCUAGAAGCAAGUCAUUAACAGUACUCUUAGCUUAGGUGUCUUGUCAGAGGCAGUUUCAGGUGGCCUCUUCCAUCGGAAGCUGACCCAACUUUGUUCCUUAGUUUACUGUUUUUAUGUUUAUUUGGUAAUUUUUACUCGCCAGUCUGAGUUCUAUGGAGCGCCAUUCUUUUACGGUGACUGGUAGGAGGGAGUGAUGGGAGCUAGCGUUGGAAGUGUUGAUGGGGAGAAAGGAAAAGGUCUAGCUCAUUUUCGCCUUUUUAUGGUAGAAAUAAUAAAGGGCAAAUAUUGUUUCUCUAUUUUUCUUAUUGAAUGCGCCAUUACCAUACCUCACGUUUUAGUUCUAGUUCUAAGCGCAAGGGAUUUCUUGAGUAUAGAAAAAUAGUCUUGGCUUCAAAUCCCAGCUUGAGUUGCCGCGGAACUUUAGCUUUGCGUGUGUGUUGUGGGAUAUGGCUGGACCUUGUUCUUCGAUGGAGAAUGUAUACCUCCUCGAUAUUGAGCCUUAACAGACUUUUACUUACUUUGGUGGCGAGGUCUAAUUGAAGCUCAACGGUAAAUUCUUUUAAAUGUGGGCUGGGCUAGCUAUUAAUCCCUCGUGCUCGACUGUGGCUGCUGUCUGGACUGUUACCCUCUGGUUUCCGGUGAUGCAAAGGUUGAAGAUGACUGUUGCCGAUAGGCUGAUUUCUCAAGGGGUGGUUUGCCUUUUUUGACUAUUUCAGAAAGCUAUAUGCCCGUUAUGGAUGUUUUCUUUGCUGGACCUUGGGUCAUGUCUUCUUUUUGGGUUUGAGCAUCUUUUAAUGUUAGUACUUUAUUUCUAUUGAUAAAUUUAGGAAUAUAACGUAGAUAAAAGACUGAUCUGGUUAGUUUUUUUA